rnacentral:rRNA from 1 species
UACGGGGGGGGCAAGCGUUGUUCGGAAUUACUGGGCGUAAAGGGCUCGUAGGCGGCCAACUAAGUCAGACGUGAAAUCCCUCGGCUUAACCGGGGAACUGCGUCUGAUACUGGAUGGCUUGAGGUUGGGAGAGGGAUGCGGAAUUCCAGGUGUAGCGGUGAAAUGCGUAGAUAUCUGGAGGAACACCGGUGGCGAAGGCGGCAUCCUGGACCGGUAUUGAGGCUGAGGCGCGAAAGCCAGGGGAGCAAACGGG